rnacentral:rRNA from 1 species
AUUGAACGCUGGCGGCAUGCCUUACACAUGCAAGUCGAACGGCAGCACGGGGCAACCUGGUGGCGAGUGGCGAACGGGUGAGUAAUGCAUCGGAACGUACCUUUCAGUGGGGGAUAACGUAGCGAAAGUUACGCUAAUACCGCAUAUUCUGUGAGCAGGAAAGCAGGGGAUCGCAAGACCUUGCGCUGAUUGAGCGGCCGAUGUCAGAUUAGCUAGUUGGUGAGGUAAAGGCUCACCAAGGCGACGAUCUGUAGCGGGUCUGAGAGGAUGAUCCGCCACACUGGAACUGAGACACGGUCCAGACUCCUACGGGAGGCAGCAGUGGGGAAUUUUGGACAAUGGGGGCAACCCUGAUCCAGCCAUGCCGCGUGAGUGAAGAAGGCCUUCGGGUUGUAAGGCUCUUUCGGCCGGGAAGAAAUCGCACGGGCUAAUACCCUGUGUGGAUGACGGUACCGGAAUAAGAAGCACCGGCUAACUACGUGCCAGCCGCCGCGGUAAAAC